CUCGUUUCCAAAGGCGAUUACUUUUGGCUUCAUAAUCUAAUCACAUGCUUUAUUUCUUAGAAUUAAUGUAGAAAUGAUCUUGUGCGUGCAACUGGUGGUGGCAAGCGGCGUAUUCCUUUUCUUUUCUUUUCUUCUUUUGCAGUUUGAGGUUUUGUCGAUCGAGAAGCAGCCUGUUUUGAGAGGCGAUAUAAUGGUCCAUACAUGGUUUUGCUUUGUCCCCCACUUAUCUCUCCAGCACAAGAAUAUUGUUGCGCCGGCCAGGACGUACGCCAUGUGAGAUCUUGGGCGAUCCCGCCUCGCGAUUGGCCGGCGGGUCAGUGCCUGCAACGAACCAAGCAACAAAAGCAAAUACAGGUCAGCUGCUAGUCUGUUGCAGUCUUCUCAAUCUUGGUGUCACAGUCUGUCUUGUGCUAAGCAAACAGGCGAUCAUUUUCGGCUGCUCGUCGGCAUUGCCGUCUUGUCUGAAGAUCCGGAUAUCCUGCAGGU
rnacentral:lncRNA from 1 species